rnacentral:rRNA from 1 species
AGUGAACGCUGGCGGUAGGCCUAACACAUGCAAGUCGAACGGCAGCACAGUAAGAGCUUGCUCUUACGGGUGGCGAGUGGCGGACGGGUGAGGAAUACAUCGGAAUCUACUUUUUCGUGGGGGAUAACGUAGGGAAACUUACGCUAAUACCGCAUACGACCUACGGGUGAAAGCAGGGGAUCUUCGGACCUUGCGCGAUUGAAUGAGCCGAUGUCGGAUUAGCUAGUUGGCGGGGUAAAGGCCCACCAAGGCGACGAUCCGUAGCUGGUCUGAGAGGAUGAUCAGCCGCACUGGAACUGAGACACGGUCCAGACUCCUAGGGGAGGCAGCAGUGGGGAAUAUUGGACAAUGGGCGCAUGCCUGAUCCAACCAUACCGCGUGGGUGAAGAAGGGCUUCGGGUUGUAAAGCCCUUUUGUUGGGAAAGAAAAGCAGCAGGUUAAUACCCCGCUGUUCUGACGGUACCCAAAGAAUAAGCACCGGCUAACUUCGUG